GGUCGCGUAGCUCAGUCGGAAGAGCACUCGGUCGAUAACCGAGAGGUCGCUGGAUCGUUUCCAGCCGUGGCUACCA
rnacentral:tRNA from 1 species